GAUGAACGCUGGCGGCGUGCCUAAUACAUGCAAGUCGAGCGGACGGACGAGAAGCUUGCGGCGCUGAUGUUAGCGGAAGGCGGGUGAGAAACACGUGUAUCACCUACCUAUAAGACUGGGAACACUUCGGGAAACCGGAGCUAAUACCGGAGGAUCUUUUGAACCGCGGGGUUCAAAGGUGAGAGACGGCCGUGGGGGCACGUAUCGAUGCAUACGCGCUGGAUUGGGUGGUUGGUAAGGUAACAGCUUACCAAGGCAACGAUGCAUGACCGAGCUGUGGGGGUGAUCGGCCACCCUGGAACUUGGCCACCGUCCAGACUCCUGCGGGAGGCAGCAGUCGGGAAUCUUCCGCAAUGGGCGAAAGCCUUACGCAGCGACGCCGCGUCAGUUGUGACGGUCCUCCGAUCGUAAAGCUCUGUUACUGGUUAAGAACAUAUUUGUCCGUAGAUGAGGCCAUCGUGACGGUACCGAAUCAGAAAGCCCCGGCUAACUACGUG
rnacentral:rRNA from 1 species